AAUCGUUUCUGUUCAUACAACAAAUUUAAUCGAAUCUGUGUUUACAGAGAACAUUUUUUGUCAUAGUAGUACAGCAUGAUCUAUUGGCUAACACCACAGAAAUUUUGUAUUAAAUGUAAAAAUAUAUUAUACUUAUUAUUUGAACUAUAAUGGUACUGAAUAAACAGCGUAGGCUACGGUGUUUUGUUAUUUUGAUAAAAUAAGGAUUUUUAUAAAUUACGCAUUAAAAUGAUUUUUUGUAGUCAAAAAGUAGUAAAAGUGCCCAUAUUAUGAAAAACGCUUUUUUCUGGGUUUUUGGGUGUUCUUUUGUGUCUCUGCUGCCUCCACACGCAUAAAAAAUCCAUCCAUGCUGUUUUGAGCGUGAUACACAUAGAUAUGUAUAUAAAGGCCUUUAUAUACAUAUCUAUGGUGAUACAGGUUUCUGAUACAGCCUCCCCCUACUGGACGCUUGAGGAACAACAGGGGCGUAAAACUGUCAGGGGCGUUGUAGAUCUACAGGCUCCAGGUCUGCAGCCUCCCCCUGCUUUUCAAACCCAGCGCCGUUGUGACGUAACUAGCCGUGUCAUCACAUUCCUUGUGAUUAUUUCCGCCCACCACCUCACUACCCAGGUCUCCACCCACCAGGUAGCUACUUGCUAAUUUAACAUGGCUCACGGAAACUGUUCUGUUGUUGGCUGUAAAGUGUUGUCCACAUCACUCCAUCGUGUACCAGCCGCAGAGGACAGAAGAGCGGCAUGGAUAGAAUUCAUUUAUGAUGGCAACGUCCCUGCUACAGUUGGGAAAAAAAUGUUGGUGUGUACUAGCCACUUUGAGCCUGGUUGUUUUUCCAACUUAGGUCAGUACAACGCAGGAUUAGCCAAGAAAUUACACCUAAAUGAGGACGCGAUUCCAACAUUGCGUGGAAUACCUGCAUACGAGGGACAUGCCAGAGACAUUGGCUGUCAGACCGAGCCCGCUGAACGAUGGAGUGUUGGCACACAACUGUCAUCUAGGACUCUUUUACAUUACAAAAGUAGAGCUGUCCAGGCUACUGUGUCCUGCAAGGUGAUUGGCACAUCCACUGAUCCCUUCAUAGCCCCACUUCCUUCUCUAAGCUCAACACACAUAAAGAAGGAGGAGGAGGAAGAGGACCCUUUAGAGGGGAGCUCAAUUAUUGUUUCCCAUGACCCUGCAAACUCAGCCUCAACUUUGACAGAGACAACAGUUAUGUCAGAUGCUGCAUCCACUUCUACACAGGAAAUCAGAAAGUAUAUUGUGUAUGAUUCCUGUCUGAUGGAGCUGUUUGAGGUGUGUGCUACAUGCAAGCGGGCAUGCCUGCACUGUAAAAAACCCAAUAAAUGAAAUGUUGGACAGGCAAAAAUAUAUAAGUUAAACCAAUUUUCUUGUUUGGGUUUAGUUAAGAAGACACAUUAUUUUAAGUCUACAUAAAUCUGUGUUUAAAACAUUAAAUGAAUGAUUAUUUUCAAAUCCAGUCAACAUUCAGAAUGGCUAGUGUUGACUGAACUAAUUAAGACAAAUCUGGUAAAUGGACUUGCUAUGUUUCCUGACAACAACAUGCUCAUAAUAUUUGCUGUUAUUUGGUCACAAAAUGUAAUUGUAAGAGUUGUUCAGGCGUGAAUGUAUGUGCUUUAAGUUUAAAUAUGCGGUCCGUUAAUAAAGAUAGCGUCUAUUUAAAAAUGUGCUCGGACACUUUCGGACAGAGAAGAGCUCGAGAGAAUAACCGGCGCUUAAGCGUUCACACGCCGCGCAGCCUAGCCUCGGCAAGCCCAUCAGAAAUCGACUGCUGGCUCUGAUAUCUCUGUGGCGUUUAAACAUGUGAUUUAAUUCAUUUUAAUUUCUUAUACUUAAUAAUAAAAGGGUUAUGUUUUAAAUCAUAUUUUAGGAUUGCACUUAAUUGAUAUCGCUGUUGAAUGAUAUUUCAUAUCUUUCACAUUUGUUAUAACCGGACUGCGUCCUGCCUGCGAAUUUGAACUUCAGAGCUGAAGGAGCGGGUGAAGAAAUAGACCCAAUAUCAUAACAAUCUUAAAUAAAACUUCUAAAUAUACCCGUGUGUGUGCGUGCCCUGCGCGCGCUCGCGUGUGUGCAUGUAUGUAUGUACGUGCAUGUGUGUGUUUUGAAUUUAAAAUGUCUUAACUCGGAAGGAUCCAAGGAUCUGGGUCAAGUCAUCUCAUCUGAGAUCAAUCCGCACGUAACAGCCGGAAUCACUUACUUAUUCACACGAAACAAGUCAUCAGCCGUUUCCUCAAGUUCACGUCAGAGCGGUGAUGAUGUGAGAGGCAGACCAGAGGGAUACAUGGCGAGACUCUCUCCUCUUGUAUGGGCUGAAGAAAGUCUCCUAAAUGGCCCUGGAGAUGUUCUGACUGACUUUGGAGUGCUUUUUGGACUGUUUUAUGCCCUCUAUUUAGAGAAGACUUAAUUCUGUAUGUUCAGUCUGUAUGAUAAGUGAAUUAAAAGCUUUUGUUUUAUGUGACUGAAGUUAAUUAUUUUGUUAACAACACCAGCAUAAAUUAUUUGAUAAAUAAUUUAAAAAUGUUAUUAAAAAAUCCCAAAUAAUAAAUAUUAAUUGAAGUAACACAUAAAACAUUGAGUAAAUACUUACAUUUUAAUUGACAGAUUCUUUUCUGUAAGUUUUUAAAGAUUCAACUGAUUAAAACAUUUUAGUUGAAUGAACUAUAAAGCUAGUUGAGCAAACAUACUUUUUUAUAUUUGAGUCAAGUUUGGGCCAACUAAAAAACAACAAUCCAGGUAACACUUUGGAGACAGAAAUUGAGUGAAUGUAAAAUUUCUGUGGAACUAGUUACUAAAAAAUAAUUCAUUGAGCCAACAAUUUAUUUUUUUACAGUGUGGUAAAAACCAAAAGGCUUGGGACAUUUUUAUCAGUAGAUCAGCUUUGCAACCACUGUGAGUAUUCACGCAGUUGGAAAAGCCAGCCUCUUCUGGAUAAUACACCAGCUGGGAACAUACAACUUUCUGCUGCAGUGUACAUCAGUGGGGCCUUGUUCUUCAAAGUUCAAAGGGUGUUCAAGGCAAUGCGUCUGCAGAUGUUUCUAUAGACGGUUUCAGCAGUAACAACAUAAACAAGCGGCUGUCGUGGUCCGCACGUAACUUCCGGGCUCUGUGCAAAAUAUGGCAGCUAUACCAUAAUGGACCUCAACACCAACACUAUUGUGGAUCUCCAGUUGGUUCAGAGCAAUGAGGUUGGUGGGAGCUCAUACAUGGAGAAAGAGAGCCUGAAGAGGAGCUUGUCAUUGUCACGUGCACGAGAUGUAAACAUCGAUUGCAUCGUGACCGACCGCCAGGAAAGCGUCACACAAUUCUACGAUGUCUGGCACAUGGAGAAAGGGCUUUCAAAGUAAGUGGACAAAAUAAGCAAGAAAAAGGACUGUCAAAAACUAAAGCGGUGGAUAUCGGCAAUCAGAAACCACAUGUACUGGACAGCUGCAUCAUCCAAAACCGGGCCGGAGAGAUUGGCUAAAUGGACCUCCCUCCUGAACCAUGUUCGGGAUGUUCAUGCGCAUGAUGACCCCAUCUUCCCAAAAUGCCUCCAUACAAUUCAAAAAACAAGGAACAAGAGUAAACGUAAUAAUGAUGUACAUAGAAAUAUUCUCUUAAGAAAGCCAAAAUUUCACUUUUACUACUCAAAUGUUCAGGUUUGAGGGUUUGUUAACAUUUUGAAUUGACCAAGAGCACCACCGUAGUUGUACAAUAACAAAAGUAAUCCUCAAAAAUACAACUUGCCUAAUAAUUCUGCACAUGGGGUAGUUAAGAGUAUUUGCAUUUGGAAAUACUAGGCUAUAUCCUAAAGACAUGAUCGAAAAUAAUGGAAUUGGCUGACUAUAUUUAUGUUAUUACAUAUAAAACUUACUGUUCUAUACCCCGUAGCCGUAAAGGACCGUAGUCAGCCCUGUAAAUGUUGCAUGCAUUCUGAAGUGAGAACACAUUUAGGCAAACAGGUUCAAAACCUGGAUGAUCUAUCAUACAUGUUGGCCUUUCUUCCAGCUGCUGUAGCCAUCUUGUAACCUAUUUUGCAUAACAUAAAGUAAGUAUUUUCAGUGGGAUGUUGUCUGCAACCAUAUGUAACAAACAUGUAUGAAUAACAGUGUAUGAAAGAUAAUGUUACCUGUUGCACCUCCUGGCAGCAUAUGUUCUCAGGCUCUGAUAACAUUUUUCCAUAAUUUCCACAUGUGUAUUUACGAGUAUUGUUUCUUUAAACCGCAAGAUU